CAUAAAUGACUUUAAAAGUUUAAGUAUAUCUUAUACUAAUAGUGAUCUCAUUCGAAAAAUUUUUAGGCUACUUUCGAGAGUUUGAGAGGCUAAGGUGAUGCAAUUUAGGAAGCCAAAGACCUUAACAUCUUAUCCCUAGAAGAACUUCUUGAUUCUUUCAUGACUCAUGGUUAACCAUCAAGUAAAAUAUUGAAGAAGAGGC
rnacentral:lncRNA from 1 species